UGGGAGAUUAUUUCAGCUGAAGGGGUUUUGUGACAUUUUACUCAACACAUUCUUACUCAGUGACUUAUGCAGAGGAGCCUAGAAAAACAACAGCUAUCACAUAGUCAGUGUGCACCUUCCUUUCAAAAAAAUACAAAUUCUCUCACAAUUUCAUCACUUUUUUCACACAAUUUAAUGCCAAAAGUUUCUGUUUUAUGGGACACGGCAUUUGUGGGAGUGGAUCCUUACAUGUGGAACCAAUCUUCUUUGGGAUAAUGAAUUCUGCAGGUGGUGGGGAGUCGUUUGUGUGCUACACUAAAGGCCAGGGAAAGAGACCACAUACUAAAGCAAGGCUGAGCUAACCGUUUUCCAGCAGCAUCUCCAGCCAGUGGUGGCUGGUCCGCUCCAGGAAUCUGAGAUGCGGGAGGUUCCUCUGCCCCCUCUGGACAUCGAGGGGGCCCCGGCGUAUGCUGUUCGAGCCAUCAUGGACUUGAGGCGUCAAGCGAGGGGCCUUCAGUACCUCGUGGAGUGGGAGGGGUACGGUCCGGAGGAGAGAUGCUGGGUGCCGGUGGAGG
rnacentral:lncRNA from 1 species